UACGUAGGGUGCAAGCGUUGUCCGGAAUUAUUGGGCGUAAAGAGCGUGUAGGCGGCCCGACAAGUCCGCUGUGAAAGUCCAGGGCUCAACCCUGGAAUGCCGGUGGAUACUGUCGGGCUAGAGUCCGGAAGGGGCGAGUGGAAUUCCUGGUGUAGCGGUGAAAUGCGCAGAUAUCAGGAGGAACACCAGUGGCGAAGGCGGCCGGCUGGGGGUGACCUGACGCUGAGGCGCGAAAGCGUGGGGAGCGAACCGG
rnacentral:rRNA from 1 species